AUUAUAAUUAAAUAUUUGAAUAUCAUUUUAUACAAAUUUUACAAUUUAUUUUUGUACUGCAUCUCCAUUUCAGGCAAGAACACCAAAAAGCUUGGCAUUUGGGGUUAAUGAAGGUCCUGUUCUAGCUUGACAAAAAAGUUACUAGACAUAGAUAUCUAUCCAAGGUGCCCAACCUGACCCAAUCGAGUUUAGGUGGUUUGUAGAAGCCAAUCCUUUUUAGUCUAAUAUCUUAACAUUGUAACUAUUGUGCCCACUUGGCUGGGCGGCAAUGAACUGUGAUUGGUCCUACCUUGGCCGUGGUUCCCUAAACCAUGGGCUUGUCCGUAAUGGAACUAAAAUUCCUUUGGUAUUGGUGCUAGCCUUAUAUGCAAUAAGUAAAAGAAAAAGUAUCAAAGAUCAAAGUUUUGAAAUAAUUUAAAUUGAAAAAAUAAAAUUAAAAUCAAUGUAUCUCCUCCAUCCACAUACAUCUUACACCUGCACAUCAUAUGUUUGAUUAAAUUCCUUAAAGAAUGUUUAGCACAUCAAAUUUUUUAGGUCUGCAUUACGUACUUUUUAUAUACCUAACGCAUUUGCAAGUUAUAACUGAUGCUGGUGUUAAACAUCAAUCUGUUGUUCACAUGUUGCCUGGCUAUUCACUUGGUCCUUAUUUCGUGUAUAUAUUGUGGAGAAAGACAUCUAACAGAUGUUUAACUUCAUGGAGUGAUGAAGUCUCAUGGUUAUGUUUUCCUUCUGUGUCCACAUUGCCCAUUCAUGUCAAAAUAUGCCCUCUUUUGUUGGAGGUAAGCUACUAGCAGGUAGAUCUCCUUUUGUCAUAUGGCUAUGAAGAUGCCUUAAAAGCCCUCAUCCCACAUGUCCCUCAACGCUGCCAAUGCCUUCUCAUGCCUGCUACUUCAAGGUUGCAAGCUGGGGUGCUUACUUGUUGAAAAGAAAUGUAUUGGCAAUGUCCUUUGCACUGAGGGACUCACACGAGGCACAAGUGCAAUUUGCUUUGGAAAGAGGUGUGCCUGCAGUUAUUAGUGUGCUUGGAACCAUACAGCUCCCUUACCCAUCUAGAGCCUUUAACAUGGCUCACUGUUUGCAUUGCUUAA